GAUCAUGGCUCAGGAUGAACGCUGGCGGCAUGCCUAACACAUGCAAGUCGAUCGGUAAGGCCUCGGGUACGACGAGAGGCGGACGGCUGAGUAACGCAUGGGAACGGCACCCUAUACUGAGGGAUAAGAUACCGAAAGGUGUUCUAAUACCGCAUGUGGUCUUCGGAUUAAAGUAUUUAUACGGUAUAGGAGCGGCCCGUGUCAUAUUAGGUAGUUGGUGAGGUAAUGGCUCACCAAGCCGACG
rnacentral:rRNA from 1 species